UACGUAGGGUGCGAGCGUUGUCCGGAAUUACUGGGCGUAAAGAGCUCGUAGGUGGUUUGUCGCGUUGUUCGUGAAAUCUCACGGCUUAACUGUGAGCGUGCGGGCGAUACGGGCAGACUGGAGUACUGCAGGGGAGACUGGAAUUCCUGGUGUAGCGGUGGAAUGCGCAGAUAUCAGGAGGAACACCAAUUGCGAAGGCAGCUCGCUGGGACGUAACUGACGCUGAGACGCGAAAGCGUGGGGAGCAAACAGG
rnacentral:rRNA from 1 species